AUUGAACGCUGGCGGCAGGCCUAACACAUGCAAGUCGAACGAGUGGCGGACGGGUGAGUAAUGUAUGGGAAACUGCCUGGUGGCGGGGGAUAACUACUGGAAAGGGUAGCUAAUACCGAAUACUAUUGGAUGUGCCGAGAUGGGCUUAGCUUGUUGGUGGGGUAAAGGCUCACCAAGGCGACGAUCCGUAGCUGGUUUGAGAGGAUGACCAGCCACACUGGACCGGAGACACGGCCCAGACUCCUACGGGAGGAAGCAGUGGGGAAUAUUGCACAAUGGGCGAAAUCCUGAUGCAGCCAUGCCGCGUGUAUGAUGAAGGCCUUCGGGUUGUAAAGUACUUUCAGCGGGGAAGCGUUACCCGCAGAAGAAGCACCGGCUAACUCCGUGCCAGCAGCCGCGGUAAUAC
rnacentral:rRNA from 1 species